rnacentral:lncRNA from 1 species
GGGAAGAUGGGAGCUGUUCUUGAAGGAGCUGGAAGGAGUUUUUUAUCUGCAAUGCAAGAGUUAGAUUAAAAUACUUCCCUCCAUCUUUACCAGUAGGAGAAAGAGUGGGUAGGAGGGUGAAGAGACCAAGACAGCAACAAAGAGUCUAAGGGUGAAACCAGCUGGUGGCCCCCAUGAGAAGUAUGAGAGAUCGUUCAUGACAAGGAAUUUCAGCUUACAAAGAGAUCAGAAGCACAGAAGGCUUUGAUCCUAGUGGAAGAACAGUGAUGAAAAACCCAGGAAUCUCCCCCCUCCAUGAAACUGAGUGGCAGAGUGAUUUGAAAUGGGUAUAAGAUGGAACUUCUGGUACUGGGAAGAACUGAUUGCUGGAUGAAGAAUAAUUACUAGUCCAAGUUGGGUUCUCUCUACUGUAUACAAUCAUUCCCUGAGGGGUUUGGGUGGCUAAUCAUGCAAAUUAAAAGGAUCUAAUAGGAUUUGCUACUUGAUAAGUGAAAGUAAUUACUCAUCUCCCUGUUGACUUGAUUAUUGUGAUUUUAAACAAAAAUUCUCUUUCUGUUAUAAUGAGCAACUGAAAUGUAAAUGCUAAAUAAAACUAGUAUAAAACUCCU